rnacentral:rRNA from 1 species
AUUGAACGCUGGCGGCAGGCCUAACACAUGCAAGUCGAACGAGUGGCGGACGGGUGAGUAAUGUCUGGGAAACUGCCCGAUGGAGGGGGAUAACUACUGGAAACGGUAGCUAAUACCGCAUACCAUCGGAUGUGCCCAGAUGGGAUUAGCUAGUAGGUGGGGUAACGGCUCACCUAGGCGACGAUCCCUAGCUGGUCUGAGAGGAUGACCAGCCACACGGGAACGGAGACACGGUCCAGACUCCGACGUGAGGAAGCAUUGGGGAAUAUUGCCAAAUGGGCGCAAGCCUGAUGCAGCCAUGCCGCGUGUUUGAAGAAGGCCUUCGGGUUGUAAAGUACUUUCAGCGAGGAGGCGUUACUCGCAGAAGAAGCACCGGCUAACUCCGUGCCAGCCGCCGCGGUAAUAC